rnacentral:rRNA from 1 species
ACGCUAGCGGGAGGCCUAACACAUGCAAGCCGAGCGGUAGAAGAUCUUCGGAUCUUUGAGAGCGGCGCACGGGUGCGGAACACGUGUGCAACCUACCUUUAUCAGGGGGAUAGCCUUUCGAAAGGAAGAUUAAUACCCCAUAAUAUAUUGAAUGGCAUCAUUUGAUAUUGAAAACUCCGGUGGAUAGAGAUGGGCACGCGCAAGAUUAGAUAGUUGGUGAGGUAACGGCUCACCAAGUCAAUGAUCUUUAGGGGGCCUGAGAGGGUGAUCCCCCACACUGGUACUGAGACACGGACCAGACUCCUACGGGAGGCAGCAGUGAGGAAUAUUGGACAAUGGGUGAGAGCCUGAUCCAGCCAUCCCGCGUGAAGGACGACGGCCCUAUGGGUUGUAAACUUCUUUUGUAUAGGGAUAAACCUUUCCACGUGUGGAAAGCUGAAGGUACUAUACAAAUAAGCACCGGCUAACUCCGUGCCAGCAGCCGCGGUAAUACGGAGGGUGCAAGCGUUAUCCGGAUUUAUUGGGUUUAAAGGGUCCGUAGGCGGACUCGUAAGUCAGUGGUGAAAUCUCAUAGCUUAACUAUGAAACUGCCAUUGAUACUGCGGGUCUUGAGUAAGGUAGAGGUAGCUGGAAUAAGUAGUGUA